AACGAACGCUGGCGGCAGGCCUAACACAUGCAAGUCGAACGCCGUAGCAAUACGGAGUGGCAGACGGGUGAGUAACGCGUGGGAACAUACCCCUCGGUUCGGAAUAACUCAGGGGAAACUUGAGCCUAAUACCGGAUACGUCCGAGGUUUUGAUCGACCUUGGAGAAAGAUUUAUCGCCGAAGGAUUGGCCCGCGUCUGAUUAGCUUGUUGGUGAGGUAAUGGCUCACCAAGGCGACGAUCAGUAGCUGGUACUGAGAGGAUGAUCAGCCACAUUGGGACUGAGACACGGCCCAAACUCCUACGGGAGGCAGCAGUGGGGAAUAUUGGACAA
rnacentral:rRNA from 1 species